UACAGAGGGGGCAAGCGUUGUUCGGAAUUACUGGGCGUAAAGGGCGCGUAGGCGGCCUGCUAAGUCGAACGUGAAAUCCCCGGGCUCAACCCGGGAACUGCGUCCGAUACUGGCAGGCUUGAAUCCGAGAGAGGGAUGUGGAAUUCCAGGUGUAGCGGUGAAAUGCGUAGAUAUCUGGAGGAACACCGGUGGCGAAGGCGGGUCUCUGGGCAACAACUGACGCUGAGGAGCGAAAGCGUGGGGAGCGAACAGG
rnacentral:rRNA from 1 species